rnacentral:rRNA from 1 species
AGGUGAUCCAGCCGCACCUUCCGAUACGGCUACCUUGUUACGACUUCACCCCAAUCAUUUGUCCCACCUUCGACGGCUAGCUCCUAAAAGGUUACUCCACCGGCUUCGGGUGUUACAAACUCUCGUGGUGUGACGGGCGGUGUGUACAAGACCCGGGAACGUAUUCACCGUAGCAUGCUGAUCUACGAUUACUAGCGAUUCCAGCUUCAUGUAGUCGAGUUGCAGACUACAAUCCGAACUGAGAACAACUUUAUGGGAUUUGCUUGACCUCGCGGUUUCGCUGCCCUUUGUAUUGUCCAUUGUAGCACGUGUGUAGCCCAAAUCAUAAGGGGCAUGAUGAUUUGACGUCAUCCCCACCUUCCUCCGGUUUGUCACCGGCAGUCAACUUAGAGUGCCCAACUUAAUGAUGGCAACUAAGCUUAAGGGUUGCGCUCGUUGCGGGACUUAACCCAACAUCUCACGACACGAGCUGACGACAACCAUGCACCACCUGUCACUUUGUCCCCCGAAGGGGAAGGCUCUAUCUCUAGAGUUGUCAAAGGAUGUCAAGAUUUGGUAAGGUUCUUCGCGUUGCUUCGAAUUAAACCACAUGCUCCACCGCUUGUGCGGGUCCCCGUCAAUUCCUUUGAGUUUCAACCUUGCGGUCGUACUCCCCAGGCGGAGUGCUUAAUGCGUUAGCUGCAGCACUAAGGGGCGGAAACCCCCUAACACUUAGCACUCAUCGUUUACGGCGUGGACUACCAGGGUAUCUAAUCCUGUUUGAUCCCCACGCUUUCGCACAUCAGCGUCAGUUACAGACCAGAAAGUCGCCUUCGCCACUGGUGUUCCUCCAUAUCUCUGCGCAUUUCACCGCUACACAUGGAAUUCCACUUUCCUCUUCUGCACUCAAGUUUUCCAGUUUCCAAUGACCCUCCACGGUUGAGCCGUGGGCUUUCACAUCAGACUUAAAAAACCGCCUACGCGCGCUUUACGCCCAAUAAUUCCGGAUAACGCUUGCCACCUACGUAUUACCGCGGCUGCUGGCACGUAGUUAGCCGUGGCUUUCUGAUUAGGUACCGUCAAGAUGUGCACAGUUACUUACACAUAUGUUCUUCCCUAAUAACAGAGUUUUACGAUCCGAAGACCUUCAUCACUCACGCGGCGUUGCUCCGUCAGGCUUUCGCCCAUUGCGGAAGAUUCCCUACUGCUGCCUCCCGUAGGAGUCUGGACCGUGUCUCAGUUCCAGUGUGGCCGAUCACCCUCUCAGGUCGGCUAUGCAUCGUUGCCUUGGUAAGCCGUUACCUUACCAACUAGCUAAUGCAGCGCGGAUCCAUCUAUAAGUGACAGCAAGACCGUCUUUUACUUUUGAACCAUGCGGUUCAAAAUAUUAUCCGGUAUUAGCUCCGGUUUCCCGAAGUUAUCCCAGUCUUAUAGGUAGGUUAUCCACGUGUUACUCACCCGUCCGCCGCUAACAUCAGAGAAGCAAGCUUCUCGUCCGUUCGCUCGACUUGCAUGUAUUAGGCACGCCGCCAGCGUUCAUCCUGAGCCAGGAUCAAACUCU